rnacentral:rRNA from 1 species
UACGUAGGUGACAAGCGUUGUUCGGAUUUACUGGGCGUAAAGGGGUGCGUAGGAGGUUGGCAAAGUCGGAUGUGAAAUCUCACCGCUUAACGGUGAAAUUGCGUUCGAUACUGGUUGACUAGAGUAUCGGAGGGGAAAGCGGAAUUCCUGGUGUAGCGGUGAAAUGCGUAGAUAUCAGGAGGAACACAACGCGAAGGCAGCUUUCUGGACGAUAACUGACUCUGAGGCACGAAGGCUAGGGGAGCGAACGGG